AAAGCGUCUGUAGGUGGUUUAUUAAGUCUACUGUUAAAUAUCAGGGCUUAACCCUGAAUCGGCAGUAGAAACUCAUAAGCUUGAGUACGGUAGGGGCAGAGGGAAUUCCCGGUGUAGCGGUGAAAUGCGUAGAGAUCGGGAAGAACACCGAUGGCGAAAGCACUCUGCUGGGCCGAAACUGACACUGAGAGACGAAAGCUAGGGGAGCAAAAGGGAUUAGAUACCCCAGU
rnacentral:rRNA from 1 species